rnacentral:lncRNA from 1 species
AGUCCCCUUUAGUUCCCCUUUAGGGGAUGAACAACUUGUUUUUUAUUUUUUGUCAGUCCCCUUUAGGGGACUGACACCCUUUGGUCCCCCUUCUUCCCCUCUGGUUCCCCUUUAGGGGAUGACCUCAUCCCCUUUAGUUCCCCUAAAGGGGAACUAAAGGGGAUGAGCCAAAGGUUCCCCUUUGGGCUCUUUGGUGUUUUCGUUCAUCCCCUUUAGUUCCCCUUUAGGGGAUGAACUAAAGGGGAUGGAAAACCAAAGUCCCUAAAGGGAAUGAUGACAACCUUUUUGUUCCCCCAUCCCCUUUGUUCAUCCCCUUUAGUUCCCCUUUAGGGGAUGAACUAAAGGGGAAGACUUCCCCCUUCGGGGAGCCCAAAAGGGUUCCCUUUGUUCAUCCCCUUUAGUUCCCCUUUAGGGGAUGAACUAAAGGGGAAGACUUCCCCCUUCGGGGAGCCCAAAGGGGUUCCCUUUGGGGACGAUGACAAGGGGACGAAGGGGUUCUUCCCCUAAAGGGGAACUUUAGUUCAUCCCCUAAAGGGGAACUAAAGGGGAUGAAGAAGGGGUUCCCCUUCGGGGAAGAAGGGGGUUCCCCUAAAGGGGAAGAGCUACACAGCAUCAAAUAACCUAAUAUAUAUAUAUAUCAUUUGGUUGCUCUUUUUUACACAAUAAAAAAUUUAAAAACUACUUUUUAUUUUCUUAUGAAUAGCAAAACGUCUGUUCUUAAAUUCAAAAUACUGCUUAGAUCAAUCCAACUAACAGUGUUUGGGUACAUUGUAAAAAGGCGUUGUAAAUAUAUAAUUUAUGCACUCCAUUGUCGACACGUUGACGCUUGUAAGGGAGGGGGGUUCGUUUAACUACUUUAAACUACUAAGUAAUCACUAAACUACAACGAACAUAUGUGAAUUUCGUUAGAGCAAUGUUAUAACUUUAACUAGAUUUUGUAAACUACCCUUGGCCCGAACUUAUCUUGUGAGAGCCUCUAGCCCGAACGAAGACCGAUGUUGGUGGUCAUAUAAUCUAGGCCUUGGACCAGCCCAACGAAGUUAAACAACAACUGCCUCACAGCGUUAGCGUUGUGAGUAGUGCUCAAGGUACUCG